rnacentral:rRNA from 1 species
UACGUAGGUGGCAAGCGUUGUCCGGAUUUACUGGGCGUAAAGAGCGCGCAGGCGGUCGUUCAAGUCGCGUGUGAAAGCCCCCGGCUCAACUGGGGAGGGUCACGCGAUACUGAUCGACUCGAAGGCAGGAGAGGGUAGUGGGAAUUCCCGGUGUAGUGGUGAAAUGCGUAGAUAUCGGGAGGAACACCAGUGGCGAAGGCGACUACCUGGCCUGUUCUUGACGCUGAGGCGCGAAAGCUAGGGGAGCAAACGGGG